rnacentral:lncRNA from 1 species
CGCAUCACUGAGUACCACUCUUCAUAUUUUCAAGCAUGGUGGUGGCUGCAUCAUGUUAUGGGUAUGCUUGUCACCAGCAAGGACUACAGAGUUUUGUCAGGAUAAAAAAGGAAACGGAAUCGAGCUAAGCACAGACAAAAUCAUAGAGGAAAACCUGGUUGUUGGUUUUUCCAACAAACUGGGAAACAAAUUCACCUUUUCAGCAGGACAAGAACCAAAAACACAAGGCCAAAUCUACGCCGGAGUACCAAGAUGACAUUGAAUGUUCCUGAGUGGCCUAGUUAUAGUUUUGAGUUAAAUCUGCUUGAAAAUCGAUAGCAAAACUUGAACAUGUCUGUCUAGCUUUGAUCAACAACCAACUUGACAGAGCUUGAAGAAUUUAAAAAAUAAUAAUGUGCAAAUAUUGUACAAUACAGGUGUGCAAAGACUCACAGCUGUAAUCGCUCUUAGAGACUGACCCAGAAAGACUCACAGGCUGUAAUCGCUCUUAGAGACUGACCCAGAAAGACUCACAGCUGUAAUCGCUCUUAGAGACUGACCCAGAAAGACUCACAGCUGUAAUCGCUCUUAGAGACUGACCCAGAAAGACUCACAGCUGUAAUCGCUCUUAGAGACUGACCCAGAAAGACUCACAGCUGUAAUCGCUCUUAGAGACUGACCCAGAAAGACUCACAGCUGUAAUCGCUCUUAGAGACUGACCCAGAAAGAAUCACAGCUGUUAGUCACUGCCAAAGGGGAUUCUAACAUGUAUUGACUCAGGGGUGGGAAAAGUUAUGUAAAUAAGAUAUAUUUCCUUAUAUUAUUUUCAAAAAAUUUGCUAAAAUGUUUAAACAUGUUUUCACUUUCAUUAUG